rnacentral:lncRNA from 1 species
GACAGGUUAUUUACCGAGUCAAGAGAUUAUAUUGCUGUUAACAAAAUUUUUGGUUAUAUGUUCCUUCAAACAGAUUCCGAGCAGACAGAUAACAAGGAGAACAUUCCUCUAUCACAAGUGUUAUGAAUCAAGUGUUAGUCUUCAUCGUCGAAUCAAGUGUUUAUUCACUUUUAAUGUUUACUAGAGCUUGACCCGCACGCCUGUGCGGGUGCUAAGUGUUUUUAUAUAUGUUUUUUGUUUUCUAUAUGAAGAUCUCAUAUAUUUAAGAUGAAUAACCAUUUUGUAAUACAACUGUAUCACCAUAUUAAUUUUUAUUUUUUUACAAAUUUUUAUUUGUUUUCCAUUUUAAGUCUUCUAUUUUUUUUUUAAAGUACAUAUUGAAAUGUUAAUUGUUUAGUAAAUGAUAAUAUGCUAUCAAUUUUAACGAUUUUAUAAACAAAAUCUAUAUCUAUAAUUAUUGUGAAUUUUAUGUGUGUACCUAAAUAAAGAAGAAAUGUUUUUUUUUAACAAUAUAUAAUAUAAUAUUGAGAAAUUCCUUGGGAUAGACCUAGAAAUGUUUUUGUCACAAAUAUAGACCUUACGAAUAAAAAUGACCAAAAUAGACUUAAAUGUUUUAUCAAAAGAAGUAAAUAUACACUUAUAUCGCUAGGGUUAAUUAAUCUAGACAUUAGGGUUUAGAGUUAAGGGGUGGAGUUUAGGGUUUAGGGUUUAAAGUUUACGGUUUAGGAUUUAGAGUUUAGGGUUUAGAGUUGAAGGUGUUAUUGGUUUAUAUAUUUUGAUUGAUUUAGAAAUUCAUAUAGUAUUUAUAAAUCCAAGUAAAAUAUACAAA